GGGCCAUGGCUCAGUGGUAGAGCAUCUGCUUUGCAUGCAGAAAGUCACAGGUUCAAUCCAUGGCAUCUCUA